UUCGCCCUUAGAGUUUGAUCCUGGCUCAGGACGAACGCUGGCGGCGCGCCUAACACAUGCAAGUCGAACGGAGCUUAGAGAGCUUGCUUUUUAAGCUUAGUGGCGAACGGGUGAGUAACGCGUGAGUAACCUGCCCUAGAGUGGGGGACAACAGUUGGAAACGACUGCUAAUACCGCAUAAGCCCACGGUACCGCAUGGUACUGAGGGAAAAGGAUUUAUUCGCUUUAGGAUGGACUCGCGUCCAAUUAGCUAGUUGGUGAGGUAACGGCCCACCAAGGCGACGAUUGGUAGCCGGACUGAGAGGUUGAACGGCCACAUUGGGACUGAGACACGGCCCAGACUCCUACGGGAGGCAGCAGUGGGGGAUAUUGCACAAUGGGGGAAACCCUGAUGCAGCGACGCCGCGUGGAGGAAGAAGGUUUUCGGAUUGUAAACUCCUGUCGUUAGGGACGAUAAUGACGGUACCUAACAAGAAAGCACCGGCUAACUACGUGCCAGCAGCCGCGGUAAAACGUAGGGUGCAAGCGUUGUCCGGAAUUACUGGGUGUAAAGGGAGCGCAGGCGGGAAGACAAGUUGGAAGUGAAAACCAUGGGCUCAACCCAUGAAUUGCUUUCAAAACUGUUUUUCUUGAGUAGUGCAGAGGUAGAUGGAAUUCCCGGUGUAGCGGUGGAAUGCGUAGAUAUCGGGAGGAACACCAGUGGCGAAGGCGGUCCACUGGGCACCAACUGACGCUGAGGCUCGAAAGCAUGGGUAGCAAACAGGAUUAGAUACCCUGGUAGUCCAUGCCGUAAACGAUGAUUACUAGGUGUGGGGGGAUUGACCCCCAUCAGAUGCCGCAGUUAAACACAAUAAGUAAUCCACCUGGGGAGUACGACCGCAAGGUUGAAACUCAAAAGGAAUUGACGGGGGCCCGCACAAGCAGUGGAGUAUGUGGUUUAAUUAGAAGCAACGCGAAGAACCUUUACCAGGUCUUGACAUCCGAUGCAUAGCACAGAGAUGUGUGAAAUCCUUCGGGACAUCGAGACAGGUGGUGCAUGGUUGUCGUCAGCUCGUGUCGUGAGAUGUUGGGUUAAGUCCCGCAACGAGCGCAACCCUUAUUGCCAGUUACUACGUUAAGAGGACUCUGGCGAGACUGCCGUUGACAAAACGGAGGAAGGUGGGGAUGACGUCAAAUCAUCAUGCCCUUUAUGACCUGGGCUACACACGUACUACAAUGGCGUUAAACAAAGAGAAGCAAGACCGCGAGGUGGAGCAAAACUCAAAAACAACGUCUCAGUUCAGAUUGCAGGCUGCAACUCGCCUGCAUGAAGUCGGAAUUGCUAGUAAUCGCGGAUCAGCAUGCCGCGGUGAAUACGUUCCCGGGCCUUGCACACACCGCCCGUCA
rnacentral:rRNA from 1 species